CACGUAGGGUGCGAGCGUUGUCCGGAAUUAUUGGGCGUAAAGGGCUCGUAGGCGGUCUGUCGCGUCGGGAGUGAAAACUCAGGGCUUAACCCUGAGCCUGCUUCCGAUACGGGCAGACUAGAGGUAUGCAGGGGAGAACGGAAUUCCUGGUGUAGCGGUGGAAUGCGCAGAUAUCAGGAGGAACACCGGUGGCGAAGGCGGUUCUCUGGGCAUUACCUGACGCUGAGGAGCGAAAGUGUGGGGAGCGAACAGG
rnacentral:rRNA from 1 species